AACGAACGCUGGCGGCAGGCCUAGCACAUGCAAGUCGAGCGAGGACUUCGGUUCUAGCGGCGGACGGGUGAGUAACGCGUGGGAAUGUGCCCUUCUCUACGGAAUAGCCCUGGGAAACUGGGAGUAAUACCGUAUACGCCCUAUUGGGGAAAGAUUUAUCGGAGAAGGAUCAGCCCGCGUUGGAUUAGGUAGUUGGUGGGGUAAUGGCCUACCAAGCCGACGAUCCAUAGCUGGUUUGAGAGGAUGAUCAGCCACACUGGGACUGAGACACGGCCCAGACUCCUACGGGAGGCAGCAGUGGGGAAUCUUAGACAAUGGGGGCAACCCUGAUCUAGCCAUGCCGCGUGAGUGAUGAAGGCCUUAGGGUUGUAAAGCUCUUUCAGCUGGGAAGAUAAUGACGGUACCAGCAGAAGAAGCCCCGGCUAACUCCGUG
rnacentral:rRNA from 1 species